rnacentral:rRNA from 1 species
UACGUAGGGCGCAAGCGUUAUCCGGAAUUAUUGGGCGUAAAGAGCUCGUAGGCGGUUUGUCGCGUCUGCUGUGAAAAGCCCCGGGGCUCAACCCCCGGGUCUGCAGUGGGUACGGGCAGACUAGAGUGAUGUAGGGGGAGACUGGAAUUCCUGGUGUAGCGGUGAAAUGCGCAGAUAUCAGGAGGAACACCGAUGGCGAAGGCAGGUCUCUGGGCAUUAACUGACGCUGAGGAGCGAAAGCAUGGGGAGCGAACAGG